UUAGUGUGGGCAAAGGGCUCCUGCGCUGUUUAUCUCGCCUAACCACGCUCUGCAGGGGGAGUAUAGCGGGACGCGUGGAAGAGAACGGAUUCCUCUAGCACUGCGAGUUGAGAUCCUACCCAGAGAUUGAUGACAAUAAGCUGCAAUGUUCCAAACUUUGAGCAGCUUCCUGGCUGCUGUUUGUCACUCCCCGUGAUGCCUUUUAAAAGAUAAAUUGCAUAAGCAACUUCUAGAUUUCAUGGAGAAAUAUUGAAGUGAGGAGCAUUACAAACAUUUUCCCAAGAGCUCCCCUACCUGACUGUGAGCCCCUGGAGGGCAGGGUGGAGUAUCACUCAUCUCCAGGGCUGGCCACUAGAAAAUAUCAAUAAUGGAGAGAGAGGGAGAGGAGAGAGCAAGA